rnacentral:snoRNA from 1 species
AACCAGCAUUUGCUCCUUUACAUGAUGAACACGAGUGCAUUUGGCUCGAGACGUUUUUGUCGGUGUGGAAAAACCCAAGCUACCUUACUAUUUUUUUGUCUGAUU